rnacentral:rRNA from 1 species
CCUACGGGAGGCAGCAGUGAGGAAUAUUGGUCAAUGGACGCAAGUCUGAACCAGCCAUGCCGCGUGCAGGAAGACGGCUCUAUGAGUUGUAAACUGCUUUUGUACGAGGGUAAACGCAGAUACGCGUAUCUGUCUGAAAAUAUCGUACGAAUAAGGAUCGGCUAACUCUGUGCCAGCAGCCGCGGUAAUACGGAGGAUUCAAGCGUUAUCUGGAUUUAUUGGGUUUAAAGGGUGCGUAGGCGGUGGGAUAAGUUAGAGGUGAAAGCCCGAGGAUCAACUGCGGAAUUGCAGCUGAUACUGUUCGGCUUGAGUGUAGAUGCGGUAGGCGGAAUGUAUGGUGUAGCGGUGAAAUGCUUAGAGAUCAUACAGAACACCGAUUGCGAAGGCAACUUACCGGGGUACAACUGACGUUGAGGCACGAAAGCGUGGGGAGCAAACAGGAUUAGAUACCCCUGUAGUC